CGUGCAUUUAUCAGACCAAAAACCGGCCGCGUCUUCGGGCGCGUUCGCCUUGGUGACUCUGGAUAACUUUGCGGAUCGCACGGUCUAGCACCGGCGACGGAUCAUUCAAGUGUCUGCCCUAUCAACUUUCGUCGGUACGGUAUUUGCCUACCGAGGUUCUUACGGGUGACGGGGAAUCAGGGUUCGAUUCCGGAGAGGGAGCCUGAGAAACGGCUACCACAUCCAAGGAAGGCAGCAGGCGCGCAAAUUACCCAUUCCCGACGCGGGGAGGUAGUGACGAAAAAUAACAAUGCAGGACUCGUUCGAGGCCCUGUAAUUGGAAUGAGUACACUUUAAAAGCUUUAACGAGUAUCCAUUGGAGGGCAAGUCUGGUGCCAGCAGCCGCGGUAAUUCCAGCUCCAAAAGUAUAUAUUUAAGUUGUUGCGGUUAAAAAGCUCGUAGUUGGAUUUUGGGCGCAGGCGGCCGGUCCGUCGCAAGGCGUGUACUGGACGUCCUGGCCUUCCCUCCGGUUCUCCGCCGGUGCUCUUGACUGAGUGUCGGCGGCGGCCGGAACGUUUACUAUGAAAAAAUUAGAGUGUUCAAAGCAGGCUCUCGAGCCUGGAUAAUGGUGCAUGGAAUAAUGGAAUAGGACCUCGGUUCUAUUUUGUUGGUUUUCGGAGCGCGAGGUAAUGAUUAAGAGGGACAGACGGGGGCAUUCGUACUGUGCCGUUAGAGGUGAAAUUCUUGGAUCGGCGCAAGACGAACGACUGCGAAAGCAUUUGCCAAGAAUGUUUUCUUUAAUCAAGAGCGAAAGUCAGAGGUUCGAAGACGAUCAGAUACCGUCCUAGUUCUGACUAUAAACGAUGCCAACUAGCGAUCGGGGGGCGUUACAUUGACGACCCCUCCGGCAGCUUACGGGAAACCAAAGUCUUUGGGUUCCGGGGGAAGUAUGGUUGCAAAGCUGAAACUUAAAGGAAUUGACGGAAGGGCACCACCAGGAGUGGAGCCUGCGGCUUAAUUUGACUAAACC
rnacentral:rRNA from 1 species